GUGCCAGCCGCCGCGGUAAUACGGAGGGUGCGAGCGUUGUCCGGAAUCACUGGGCGUAAAGGGCGCGUAGGCGGCCCGGUAAGUAGGGGGUGAAAUCUUGCGGCUUAACCGCAAGGCUGCCUUCUAGACUGCCAGGCUCGAGCACAGUAGAGGCAGGUGGAAUUCCCGGUGUAGCGGUGGAAUGCGUAGAGAUCGGGAAGAACAUCAGUGGCGAAGGCGGCCUGCUGGACUGUAGCUGACGCUGAGGCGCGACAGCGUGGGGAGCAAACAGGAUUAGAUACCCUGGUAGUCC
rnacentral:rRNA from 1 species